UUCCUUAUGUGAAGUGCUGUUCCUUUGCGGGAACAGAUGCAGGAGAUCUGAAGGGAAAAAUCCCACUCUCCAGGCUAUGGCAAGAGAUAAUCACUGGUGUGCCUGGGCACUACGAGUCCCAGGCCCUCCCCAGUAGGAGGAGUUCCCACUCUACACGGUGGAGACCAAUGGAAGCAGGAGAAGCCUCAGCAUGCGGGAGGCCAAUCUGAGGAGCUGUUCCCAUGGCUCAUUCCUGACCCUGCACCUGGUUGCCUUCCUCACAGAGUGUAAGCUGUGUGGUGUCGCCAAAGUUUGUUUCAUGCUCUACCUGCAACGCCUUGAGCAGUGCCUCAGGAUAGCUUCAAUAGAUACUUGCUGAACAAAUGGUUGAAAGAAGGAGUGGGGAUUAAAACCCAAGGAUCCCUACCUUGUUUCUAAGGAAACAGAAUGGAGUGAUAUAUGCCACAAGUCCAGGCAUAAAAGAAGCUCUUGAAAAUAAGGUCUUCUAAGUUGAAUUGGCCAGAAAUGAGUCAGAGAACAAGUCAUGGUGACGAAGCCAUAAAUGGCAUCCACAUCGCUACCAUGGUUUCCAAGGAAUAAUAUUCUCAUCGUACUACCAAAUGUGACUGGUUUAUAUAUCUGCCCUACUAUUG